GGCAGCAUAGCCAAACGGUAAGGCAAAGGUCUACAAAACCUUGAUUUUCGGUUCGAAUCCGAAUGCUGCCUCCA
rnacentral:tRNA from 1 species